CCCUGGGAAACUCGUUUUGGGGUCAGGCAACCCCUUAACGGGGCUCAUGGUAUCAGCCCAGGCUCUGGUGGUGGGCACUGCAUGGCAGGGAAGAGGAGGGGUUCGCUGGAGCUGAAGUUCAGCAAAAUACCUCAAGCACGUGGUUGUUUUCAUUUGAUAUACGAUUGUUUUAUUUAUAGUGACACGGUCAGUCCUGCUCUUCUGGCGAAAAGGAAAACAAAGCUGGUGCUAAACGGUGCUGAGACAAAUUCAUCGGAUAUUUUAGCAGAUUUAACAACAGAUACUGCGAACUCAGGAAAACAUUGAAAAACUGUGGCUCAAAAAACUCCUGCUCCCCAGAGACGGCCAGCACCCCAUCACCACCACCUUGCCUGAACCAUCUCCAAGCCCUUGUUUCCUGAAUAACUCAUCAGCUCGACUGAUUUAUCAUCAGCUUCUUUUAUAAUCCCACACCUACGAUGCUUUGAAAUGGGAUUGAAGAAAUGGAACCUACAGGAGGCAAAGAGUGGGGGCAGCUCUGCGCGAGAUCCUCGGCUCGGAUGUGUCCUUGCAGGGGGCACCAGCCAAGGCAGGGCUGGCCUCGGAUGGUCACACCAGAAAAGGGACUGCAGGGUGCUCACCUGGUGUGAAGGCAGGAAAAAGGCUGGGAAAGGUGAGAAUUUGUAGUCCUCUUUUCUCUGCCAUGCCAGCCUGAGCAGGGAGAGGGACACAGGGUAUGGAGCUGCGGGAAGAUGGGUGCUGGAAGCACCUCCAGCUUCGCAUGGGGUGAGUGGCUGGUACCAGAGAGCAACCAGCUGGAUCAGGGGUAUAAUAACCAAGCUUCACCUGCUUAGAGCAAAGGUCAAGGAGUUGCCUGACUCUGUGCUGGGUGGUGGGAGCUGCAGCAGGAUCACGGGUACUUCUUUAAACUUCCUUUGUUUCCCCAGGUCCACUGAGGACCUCUCUGGAAAAGGUCUAUCAAGGAAAUAACAGCAGAACCUCAUGCUUGGUUUUGGCUUUGAGCUUGGUUUGGCCAGCAAACACCUCAAACACAAUCUCCCUUGAAAUGGCCUGGCAGCGCUGCAGUGAUGUUUGGUCCUAUAUGGCUUAAAUGGUGUUAAGUGGUUUUAUGAUGGUUUUCCUGUGGCUCAAACAGCAGCCUUCAUUCUGGAGUGUAAUCGCUACCCUGGCACAAAUGAGUGAAGGAAAUUUUGUGUGAUCAAAUGCAAAGAAAUGCUCUUGCCUUGGAAUAAAGCACGGAGAGAGCUAGCAGCUCAGUUUGCAAUAAAACUCCAGGUAACCUGCUAUUACUGCUCCUAGCUGCUGUUGUCGGAGCUGGGCUCAGCACCAGCAGUGCAACAAGGCAUGUAAUUACCUGUCUCUGUGCCCAUUCUUUGGGUACAGCCCCCUAUCUGCAGCUGAUCCAAACAGCACAUCCAGCCUGCACUGCACACAUCGCCUCAUUAUUUCAUAGAUAUAAUUGAACCCUUUCCUACAUGAGCUUAGACUUAGUUCAGCAAGUAGAAAACACGAUACACACAAUGGAUUUAAAUAGUACAGAUAAUAUGGGGUAGACUGGAUGUGUGAAAUUGGGUUAAUGAGGGAAAACAUAGCCUAACUUUCUUUCCCCAUUCCUGUCCACUGAAAAUUUUCUUGUGCGGAAAGAAGAUAUAAAUCUCAACCUUUAUAAUCUAUUCUGAGUGUGGGAUGGGAGGUAGUUAAAUGUUAACAAUUUAAAUUAAACACAGAAACUUCUACAGCCCAAAGCAGGGUAGCUCAUGGUUUUUGUCUUGGGGUGCCAGCACUGCCUGUGCUGAAGGGAUGUGUAUGUGUUCCCAGAAGCUCCAAGGCAGCAAGUUUUCUGAAGUACUUUGCUGUAAUUACAUGCUACCUUUAAAUUAAAUGCUUGAAUAAUUCCAGAAAUUGGCCUGAAUUAUAAAAUACUUCACCUAAAAAUACAACUUGCUAGGAAACGGGGA